rnacentral:lncRNA from 10 species
UGCGCGCACUCAGGGAAUAGAAUUGAGUACAUACUCUGGGAAAAUGGGCCACUGUUGGAACUGCCAUUUUAGAAGUCAUCCACAUAGAUAUAAGAGCAGAAGCCAGAAGAAAGUAUAAUACAGGGGAAAUCAUCAAGAGAGAGGAGGACAGGGCUAAGGAGAGCUCCUUAGAGAUACAUUUGGAGAAAAGAAUCAGGAAGAAAUAAAGAAAAGCACUGAUACUGAGAAGUGGUCUGCCAAGCAUGGACUAGCGUGAAACUGUAGAGUAAACAUCCCAAAUGAAAGUUGGCCGAAAGAUACAGAAGCAAGCUAAUGAACCUAGCUGAAACUGAACAAGAGAAACACAUUAGCCUUGCUUUCCUGGUCUGAGAGUUCUGCUGUGCUGAGGUGAAAAAGAUUAAUAAAUACCAAAACCAC